CGUGUAGGCGGUCCGCUAAGUCUGAUGUGAAAGCCCGGGGCUCACCCCCGGAAGUGCAUUGGAAACUGACGGACUCGAGUCCCGGAGAGGAGGGUGGAAUUCCUGGUGUAGCGGUGAAAUGCGUAGAUAUCAGGAGGAACACCGGUGGCGAAGGCGGCCCUCUGGACGGUGACUGACGCUGAGACGCGAAAGCGUGGGGAGCAAACA
rnacentral:rRNA from 1 species